rnacentral:rRNA from 1 species
UCCCAGACUCCUACGGGAGGCAGCAGCAGGGAAUCUUUCACAAUGGGCGAAAGCCUGAUGGAGCAACGCCGCGUGAAGGAAGAAGGCUUUCGGGUUGUAAACUUCUUUUAAGAGGGAAGAGUAGAAGACGGUACCUCUUGAAUAAGCCACGGCUAACUACGUGCCAGCAGCCGCGGUAAUACGUAGGUGGCAAGCGUUGUCCGGAUUUACUGGGUGUAAAGGGCGUGUAGCCGGGCCGGCAAGUCAGAUGUGAAAUCCCAAGGCUCAACCUUGGAACGGCAUUUGAGACUGUUGGUCUUGAGUAUCGGAGAGGCAGGCGGAAUUCCUGGUGUAGCGGUGAAAUGCGUAGAUAUUAGGAGGAACACCAGUGGCGAAGGCGGCCUGCUGGACGUCAACUGACGGUGAGGCGCGAAAGCGUGGGGAGCAAACAGGAUUAGAUACCCCCGUAA